AGGAUUCCCCUAGUAACUGCGAGUGAAGCGGGAAAAGCUCAAAUUUAAAAUCUGGUGGUCUUUGGCCAUCCGAGUUGUAAUCUAGAGAAGUGUUACCCGUGUCGGACCGUGUACAAGUCUCCUGGAAUGGAGCGUCAUAGAGGGUGAGAAUCCCGUCUUUGACACGGACUACCGAGACUUUGUGGUGUGCUCUCAAAGAGUCGAGUUGUUUGGGAAUGCAGCUCAAAAUGGGUGGUAAAUUCCAUCUAAAGCUAAAUAUUGGCGAGAGACCGAUAGCGAACAAGUACCGUGAGGGAAAGAUGAAAAGAACUUUGGAAAGAGAGUUAAACAGUACGUGAAAUUGCUGAAAGGGAAACGCUUGAAGUCAGUCAUGUUAGCUGGAAAUCAGCCUUGCUUUUGCUGGGUGUAUUUUCUAGUUGACAGGCCAGCAUCAGUUUUGACCGGUGGAAAAAGUCUAGAGGAAUGUGGCAUCUUUGGAUGUGUUAUAGCCUUUGGUCGUAUACAUCGAUUGGGACUGAGGAACUCAGUACUUGUACUUAGGAUGCUGGCAUAAUGGCUUUAAUCGACCCGUCUUGAAACACGGACCAAGGAGUCUAACAUGCCUGCGAGUGUUUGGGUGAAAAACCCGGACGCGUAAUGAAAGUGAAAGUUAAGAUCCCUGUCAUGGGGAGCAUUGACGCCCGGACCAGAAGUUUUCUGACGGCCCUGCGGUAGAGCAUGUAUGUUGGGACCCGAAAGAUGGUGAACUAUGCCUGAAUAGGGUGAAGCCAGAGGAAACUCUGGUGGAGGCUCGUAGCGAUUCUGACGUGCAAAUCGAUCGUCAAAUUUGGGUAUAGGGGCGAAAGACUAAUCGAACCAUCUAGUAGCUGGUUCCUGCC
rnacentral:rRNA from 1 species